UACGUAGGGGGCAAGCGUUGUCCGGAUUUAUUGGGCGUAAAGAGCGUGUAGGCGGCCAAGCAGGUCAGCUGUGAAAACUCGAGGCUCAACCUCGAGACGUCGGUUGAAACCGCUUGGCUAGAGUCCGGAAGAGGAGAGUGGAAUUCCCGGUGUAGCGGUGAAAUGCGCAGAUAUCAGGAGGAACACCGAUGGCGAAGGCAGGUCGCUGGGCCGCAACUGACGCUGAGGAGCGAAAGCAUGGGGAGCGAACAGG
rnacentral:rRNA from 1 species